rnacentral:rRNA from 1 species
GACGAACGCUGGCGGCGUGCCUAAUACAUGCAAGUAGAACGCACAGUUGAUACCGUAGCUUGCUACACCAUAGACUGUGAGUUGCGAACGGGUGAGUAACGCGUAGGUAACCUGCCUGGUAGCGGGUGAGAACUAUUGGAAACGAUAGCUAAUACCGCAUAAUAUUGAUUAUUGCAUGAUAAUUAAUUGAAAGGUGCAAUUGCACCACUACCAGAGGGACCUGCGUUGUAUUAGCUAGUAGGUGAGGUAACGGCUCACCUAGGCGACGAUACAUAGCCGACCUGAGAGGGUGAUCGGCCACACUGGGACUGAGACACGGCCCAGACUCCUACGGGAGGGAGCAGUAGGGAAUCUUUGGCAAUGGACGAAAGUCUGACCGAGCAACGCCGCGUGAGUGAAGAAGGUUUUCGGAUCGUAAAGAUCUGUUGUUAGAGAAGAAAGGGUGUGAGAGUGGAAAGUUCACACUGUGACGGUAUCUUACCAGAAAGGGACGGCUAACUACGUG